GUCGUCAGCUCGUGUCGUGAGAUGUUGGGUUAAGUCCCGCAACGAGCGCAACCCCUAUCUUUAGUUGCCAUCAUUGAGUUGGGCACUCUAAAGAGACUGCCGGUGUCAAACCGGAGGAAGUGGGGAUGACGUCAAGUCCUCAUGGCCUUUAUGACCAGGGCUACACACGUACUACAAUGGCCGGUACAAAGGGCAGCGACACAGCGAUGUGAAGCGAAUCCCGAAAAGCCGGUCUCAGUCCGGAUUGGAGUCUGCAACUCGACUCCAUGAAGUUGGAAUCGCUAGUAAUCGCGGAUCAGCACGCCGCGGUGAAUACGUUCCCGGGCCUU
rnacentral:rRNA from 1 species